GACGAACGCUGGCGGCGUGCUUAACACAUGCAAGUCGAACGGAAAGGCCCUGCUUUUGUGGGGUGCUCGAGUGGCGAACGGGUGAGUAACACGUGAGUAACCUGCCCUUGACUUUGGGAUAACUUCAGGAAACUGGGGCUAAUACCGGAUAGGAGCUCCUGCUGCAUGGUGGGGGUUGGAAAGUUUCGGCGGUUGGGGAUGGACUCGCGGCUUAUCAGCUUGUUGGUGGGGUAGUGGCUUACCAAGGCUUUGACGGGUAGCCGGCCUGAGAGGGUGACCGGCCACAUUGGGACUGAGAUACGGCCCAGACUCCUACGGGAGGCAGCAGUGGGGAAUAUUGCACAAUGGGCGGCAGCCUGAUGCAGCAACGCCGCGUGCGGGAUGACGGCCUUCGGGUUGUAAACCGCUUUCGCCUGUGACGAAGCGUGAGUGACGGUAAUGGGUAAAGAAGCACCGGCUAACUACGUGCCAGCAGCCGCGGUGAUACGUAGGGUGCGAGCGUUGUCCGGAUUUAUUGGGCGUAAAGGGCUCGUAGGUGGUUGAUCGCGUCGGAAGUGUAAUCUUGGGGCUUAACCCUGAGCGUGCUUUCGAUACGGGUUGACUUGAGGAAGGUAGGGGAGAAUGGAAUUCCUGGUGGAGCGGUGGAAUGCGCAGAUAUCAGGAGGAACACCAGUGGCGAAGGCGGUUCUCUGGGCCUUUCCUGACGCUGAGGAGCGAAAGCAUGGGGAGCGAACAGGCUUAGAUACCCCGGUAGUCCACGCUGUAAACGGUGGGUACUAGGUGUGGGGUCCAUUCCACGGGUUCCGUGCCGUAGCUAACGCUUUAAGUACCCCGCCUGGGGAGUACGGCCGCAAGGCUAAAACUCAAAGGAAUUGACGGGGCCCCGCACAAGCGGCGGAGCAUGCGGAUUAAUUCGAUGCAACGCGUAGAACCUUACCUGGGUUUGACAUGGAUCGGGAGCGCUCAGAGAUGGGUGUGCCUCUUUUGGGGUCGGUUCACAGGUGGUGCAUGGCUGUCGUCAGCUCGUGUCGUGAGAUGUUGGGUUAAGUCCCGCAACGAGCGCAACCCUUGUUCACUGUUGCCAGCACGUUAUGGUGGGGACUCAGUGGAGACCGCCGGGGUCAACUCGGAGGAAGGUGGGGAUGACGUCAAGUCAUCAUGCCCUUUAUGUCCAGGGCUUCACGCAUGCUACAAUGGCUGGUACAGAGAGUGGCGAGCCUGUGAGGGUGAGCGAAUCUCGGAAAGCCGGUCUCAGUUCGGAUUGGGGUCUGCAACUCGACCUCAUGAAGUCGGAGUCGCUAGUAAUCGCAGAUCAGCAACGCUGCGGUGAAUACGUUCCCGGG
rnacentral:rRNA from 1 species